CCUAGAUUACACCAUUUUGCUUAAUUUAAGGACAAACGUUGUGGACAAAUGUUUAAAAACAUACCAGCAAAUGCUAAAUAUGGUGUUACGAGAAAAUGACAUUUAUGCUUAGCAUUGGCACCAAGCGCCAGGACGGAAGGGUUCUCCGGUCUUUACAUGGCUCGUUAUCCUUAAAAGGACUGCUUGCCUCUUGCUGUACUAGUUGGAAAAUGAACGUGCGACUGUGCUGUGAUGCUGUGUGUAUCGGCGCACCUGCUACUGAUGAUGUGAUGCCAGCUCAUUCUUUAUGUGAUUCAUCCCUGGCUGAUGUAACAGGUCCAACGCCGUUAAAUAGGCAGAGAGCGCACGAGAAGAGGCACAUCGGAUGGUGACUCGUGUUGUAAAAUAAGAAGCACGGAUCGGACAAAAUCGUAAGAGUUGCAGUCGUGCACAACCAGAAGUGACAGGUGGUGUCGUUUUUGCCGGCAAGCAAUAUGGGCUAUGAUAUAGAGCGCUUUGUUGGCAAUGUGAAUGAGGGACUUCUGUGCUGCAUUUGUCAAGAUGUGCUGGAAAACCCACUUCAGGCACCUUGUGAACAUGCCUUCUGCAGUACCUGCAUCCAUGACUGGUUGGUGCAUCACCAUAACUGUCCUGAAGACAGACAGUCGCUUGAUGUUUCAGUGUUGCGGCCUUUAUUCAGGUUUAUGAAGAAUGAAUUGAAUCAAUUGCAGAUCCGAUGCAGAAACAGAGAACAUGGCUGUAAUAUGGUCUGCUCACUUGAAUCUAUAGAUCUGCACGAGGUGACAUGCAUCAA